rnacentral:tmRNA from 2 species
GGGGGUGCCGGAUUUCGACAAGUUGCGUACCUUUUAAACCUACAUUUCGAGGCUGCUUACAACCUCGUUAAUCCUGUAAGCAAUCAAAUUAUAGAUGCCAACAUCUACAAUAGAAUGAAGACCGCGGUAGCUAAUGCUUUCCGCAUGCCUUCAUUCGCUAUGGUUGUCGCUUAAUAGCAAGCAAUCACAUCCCGUGUUUGAUGCUCAAUAAAACUUAAGGGGUGUCAUAUAAUUGAGCUUAGCCAAGACUGCCCGCUUCGGCUUUGUUUGGCAAAACAUUAGAAGCAUAUUUGGACUAUUUUGUUUGUUUAGAACGUUCAAAUUAAACUAAAACAAACUAAUAAAUGUAAAAGGUUUAUAGGAAACUUCUUGGACAUGGGUUUAACUCCCAUCACCUCCACCA